rnacentral:siRNA from 1 species
UUUGGCCUGCACACGAAAAUGCAA